rnacentral:rRNA from 1 species
CUCCUACGGGAGGCAGCAGUGGGGAAUAUUGGGCAAUGGGGGAAACCCUGACCCAGCAACGCCGCGUGAAGGAAGAAGGCCUUCGGGUUGUAAACUUCUUUUACCAGGGACGAAGAACG